AUUAUUCAUGAGGCCAGACCAGCUUCCCGGGAUCGCGGCUCUGGAUUGGCCCAGCCUGCGAGAGGGGCAGCCGCAGCUCCUCGGGCCGUGAUUGGUCGGGGCAGCCUGGCUAAGCUAGGCACGUGCGGGGCCAGAGAUGGAUAUGACUGCUUUACAGAACAGUUGGGAGGAUUACCUGUGAUGAGCAAUGCCAAGUGCCCACCUGGCAUGGUGUAGUGUGGAGUAGGGUUUGGUCUGCAAAUGGAGAGCUGCUGUAAUAGUGCCCUUUCCAGAGAAAAGUCCUCACCUCUGCCCUCUGUGACGACUCAAAAGCCACUACCCAAUAGCCACGAUUUCUCCAGUCAAAGCCAUGCUGGGGGGGGGGGACAGUGGUGGGGCUCUGGAGCUGGACCACCUGGGGCUGAUUCCUGCUUCUACUUUACUUGGCCUUUGAACA